rnacentral:rRNA from 1 species
CCUACGGGGGGCUGCAGUCGAGAAUCUUCGGCAAUGGGCACAAGCCUGACCGAGCGACGCCGCGUGCGAGAUGAAGGCCUUCGGGUUGUAAAUCGCUGUCAGAGGGGAGGAAAUGCCGGUGGGUUCUCCCAUCGGUUUGACCUAUCCUCAGAGGAAGGACGGGCUAAGUUCGUGCCAGCAGCCGCGGUAAGACGAACCGUCCAAACGACAUUCGGAAUCACUGGGCUUGAAGGGUGCGUAGGCGGUGCGGGAAAGCCCUCAGCUCAACUGAGGAAGUGCGCCCAAAACUGCCGGACUUGAGGGAGACAUAGGUGAGCGGAACUUAGGGUGGAGCGGUGAAAUGCGUUGAGAUCCUAAGGAACACCAGUAGCGAAAGCGGCUCACUGGGUCUCUUCUGACGCUGAUGCACGAAAGCUAGGGGAGCGAAGAGGAUUAGAUACCCCAGUAGUC